GACGAACGCUGGCGGCGUGCUUAACACAUGCAAGUGGAGCGACGAACCAGGCUUCGGCCUGGGGGCAGAGCCGCGAACGGGUGAGUAACACGUGGGUAACCUGCCCUGAUGAUCGGGACAACCCGGGGAAACCCGGGCUAAUACCGAAUGUGCCCGCAAGCCACAAGGCUUGCGAGGAAAGGAAGCUUCGGCCUCCGCAUCGGGAUGGGCCCGCGGCCCAUUAGCUUGUUGGUGGGGUAACGGCCUACCAAGGCAGCAAUGGUAGCUGGCCUGAGAGGACGAUCAGCCACACUGGGAC
rnacentral:rRNA from 1 species